rnacentral:rRNA from 1 species
AGAGUUUGAUCCCGGCUCAGAAUCAACGCUGGCGGCGCGCUUAACACAUGCAAGUCGAACGAAAAAGGGAGCAAUCCUGAGUAAAGUGGCGUACUGGUGAGUAACACGUGGAUAUCUACCUCCUGGUGGGGAAUAACCUGGGGAAACCUGGGCUAAUACCGCAUAAGUUCGAGAGAAGAAAGGCGCAAGUCGCCGGGAGAGGAGUCCGCGGUCGAUUAGGUAGUUGGCGGGGUAAAAGCCCACCAAGCCAAAGAUCGAUAGCCGGCCUGAGAGGGCACACGGCCACACUGGCACUGAAACACGGGCCAGACUCCUACGGGAGGCAGCAGUGGGGAAUCUUGCACAAUGGGGGAAACCCUGAUGCAGCGACGCCGCGUGAGCGAUGAAGCCCUUCGGGGUGUAAAGCUCUUUCGGCAGGAACGAUAAUGACGGUACCUGCAGAAGAAGCUGCGGCUAACUACGUGCCAGCAGCCGCGGUAAUACGUAGGCAGCGAGCGUUGUUCGGAAUUACUGGGCGUAAAGAGUGUGUAGGUGGUGUCGUAAGUUUGGUGUGAAAUCUCCCGGCUUAACUGGGAGGGUGCGCCGAAGACUGCGAGGCUGGAGUAUGGGAGAGGAAAGCGGAAUUCCUGGUGUAGCGGUGAAAUGCGUAGAUAUCGUAAGGAAGACCAGUGGCGAAGGCGAAUCUCUGGACAGUUACUGACACUGAGGCACGAAGGCCAGGGGAGCAAACGGGAUUAGAUACCCCGGUAGUCCUGGCAGUAAACGGUGCGCGUUUGGUGUGGGAGGAUUCGACCCCUUCUGUGCCGGAGCUAACGCGUUAAACGCGCCGCCUGGGGAGUACGGUCGCAAGAUUAAAACUCGAAGAAAUUGACGGGGGCCCGCACAAGCGGUGGAGUAUGUGGCUUAAUUCGAUCCUACGCGAAGAACCUUACCUAGCCUUGACAUGCAUCUCUAAGUCGGUGAAAGCCGGCGACUGUAGCAAUACAGAAUUUGCACAGGUGCUGCAUGGCUGUCGUCAGCUCGUGUCGUGAGAUGUUGGGUUAAGUCCCGCAACGAGCGCAACCCCUGUGAACUGUUGCCACCGGCCUUCGGGCCGAGCACUCUGUUCAGACUGCCCUGUGAAACGGGGAGGAAGGUGGGGAUGACGUCAAGUCAGCAUGGCCCUUACGGCUAGGGCUGCACACGUACUACAAUGCUCAGUACAGAAUGAACCGAAACCGCGAGGUGGAGGAAAUCCCUAAAACUGAGCCCAAUUCGGAUUGGAGGCUGCAACUCGCCUCCAUGAAGCCGGAAUCGCUAGUAAUGGCGUAUCAGCUACGACGCCGUGAAUACGUUCCCGGGCCUUGUACACACCGCCCGUCACAUCAUGGAAGUCACUUGUACCCGAAGUGCAUGCGCCAACCGCAAGGAGGCAGUGCCCUAAGGUAUGGGCGGUAACUGGGAUGAAGUCGUAACAAGGUA